GAUGAACGCUAGCUACAGGCUUAACACAUGCAAGUCGAGGGGUAACGAGAGGGAAGCUUGCUUUCCUUGUCGACGACCGGCGCACGGGUGAGUAACGCGUAUCCAACCUGCCCCCAACUAGGGAAUAACCUUGCGAAAGUAAGACUAAUACCCUAUAAUUUCCUCAGAUGUCAUCUGACGAGGAAUAAAGAUUUAUCGGUUGUGGAUGGGGAUGCGUAUGAUUAGCUUGUUGGCGGUGUAACGGCCCACCAAGGCAACGAUAAGUAGGGGUUUGGAGAGGAAGGUCCCGCACAUUGGAGCUGAGACACGGUCCAAACACCUACGGGAGGCAGCAGUGAGGAAUAUUGGUCACUGGGCGGAAGCCUGAACCAGCAAAGUAGCGUGCAGGAUGACGGCCCUAUGGGUUGUAAACUGCUUUUAUACAGGAAUAAAGUUAGCCACGUGUGGUUAUUUGUAGGUACUGUAUGAAUAAGGACCGGCUAAUUCCGUGCCAGCCGCCGCCGUAA
rnacentral:rRNA from 1 species